AUACCAGUUCCCAUACAAUUACCGAAGUUAAGCAACAUCAAGCCUGGUCAGUACAUAGAUGGGUGACUGCUUGGAAAUAUCAGGUGUUGUAUG